UACGAAGGGGGCUAGCGUUGCUCGGAAUCACUGGGCGUAAAGGGUGCGUAGGCGGCGCGGUAAGUCGGGUGUGAAAUCUCGGAGCUUAACCCCGAAACUGCAUUCGAUACUGCCGUGCUUGAGGACUGGAGAGGAGACUGGAAUUUACGGUGUAGCGGUGAAAUGCGUAGAUAUCGUAAGGAAGACCAGUGGCGAAGGCGGGUUGCUGGGCUGACACUGACGCUGAGGCGCGAAAGCUAGGGGAGCGAACGGG
rnacentral:rRNA from 1 species